GGUUUACAUAUACUAAUCUAUUUUGUUAUAAUAGAAAUUGAUAAGGAUUUUUUGAUUGAAAAAAUCAAUACUGAUUAGUUCUGUCUCAAUUUGUAUUUUAUAAUGUCAUUAGGAAAAUACAAUUUGGAGAUUCAAAUCCCAAAAUUGCUCAUGAAUUUGAAGUAAGCAGUCAAUAGUUAAUUCUUUAAAUUUGUCCUAAAUUUUAGCUGAAAAUCCACAUUUUAUUUCUCAAUAGAAAAAAGAGAUAUUUUUUAGCAUUGUGGAUUUUCAGAUACUAUACAAUCAAUCGAAGGGAUGGAUCAAAUCCAAUAAAAGAUAAAGGAGGUUUCUUAUAGGAAAAUGAUUCAGAAAAAUAGGAAUCAAAAUGCAAGUACAAUAAAAAUUCCGUAAUCCAAGAAAAUUAUCAUAUCCAUUUUGUAUCAUUUUGGCGGCAUGGCCGAGUGGUAAGGCGAAGGACUGCAAAUCUUUUUUCCCCAGUUCAAAUCUGGGUGUCGCCUAAUCAACAAAAAGCUCUAAAUCUUUUUUUGUCUUCCGUUCUGUUAAUACUUGUUUGAUUCUAGUCUAAGGGUUUUCUAAAAGAUUGUAAAUCCUUGCAUCUAGGAUUCAAGGAAAUAUUCUAAUCUAAUGAUAGAGG
rnacentral:tRNA from 1 species